GCCAGGAAUCCAGGAUGGCUGAGUGGUGACUCAUCCCUUGCAAGGGGGACAAGGUCAGAGGCUGACAGCUGUGGCUGCUUCCCUUCAAGAUAGCAAGGCAGCCUCUGGACACCUCCGCACAGGAUAUGUUCAGCUAGCUUUCAAUACUAGAAAAUUGUUUCUGUGUCGUACAUGACUGUUAUAGUUGGCAAUAAACAAAUGAACUGUA